ensembl:lncRNA
GAUAUUUAUACCUCAGAUAUUGUGUGCUGUUCAUUUUGAUACAGUGGGUUUUUCAUUUGUAAAGGUUAGUAGAUUGUCCGUGUUGGUAGAGCUAUAGAGGAGCUACUAGAUUUAAAACCUUACCAUUGUAAAACAACACAUUUCAACUGUUAGGGCUUCGUGAAAAGACAAACCAAUCCUGUAAAAUACAUUGUAGAAUGAGAUCCCGUUUUGUAAGAGUGUUUACAUGAUUGUAGGGUUUGGAUUCCUUUGACAUUCUCUCUGUUAGCGUCUACGUUGUUUCCUAGCUACUGGGGUUAGGAUUAGGAACGGGGUUAAAGUUAAGGACUGGGCAAGUGUUAGGGUUAGGAUUAGGUUAGGAUUAUGGUUAAGGUUGGGAUUAGGUUAGGAUUAGGGUUAAGGUUGGGGUUAAGGUUAGGAUUAGGUUAGGAUUAUGGUUAAGGUUGGGAUUAGGUUAGGAUUAGGGUUAAGGUUGGGGUUAAGGUUAGGUUAGGAUUAGGUUAGGAUUAGGGUUAAGGUUGGGAUUAGGUUAGGAUUAGGGUUAGGGUUAAGGUUGGGGUUAGGUUAGGUUAGGAUUGGGGUUAAAGUUAAGGACUGGGCAAGUGUUAGGGUUAGGAUUAGGUUAGGAUUAUGGUUAAGGUUGGGAUUAGGUUAGGAUUAGGGUUAAGGUUGGGAUUAGGUUAGGAUUAGGGUUAGGGUUAAGGUUGGGGUUAGGUUAGGUUAGGAUUGGGGUUAAAGUUAAGGACUGGGCAAGUGUUAGGGUUAGGAUUAGGUUAGGAUUAGGGUUAAAUUUGGGGUUAGGUUAGGUUAGGAUUGGGAUUAAAGUUAAGGACUGGGCAAGUGUUAGGGUUAGGAUUAGGGUUAAGGUUGGGAUUAGGUUAGGAUUAGGGUUAAGGUUGAGGUUAAGGCUGAAGCUCAGGGUUAGGAUUAAGGUUAUGGUUGGGGAGGUGGGGGUAAAAUGGGGUAUUAGAAAGGCACCGAAAGGUUGCAAGAUCGAGUC